UACAGAGGUCCCAAGCGUUGUUCGGAUUCACUGGGCGUAAAGGGUGCGUAGGUGGCAUGUUAAGUUUGAUGUGAAAGCUCAGGGCUUAACCCUGAAAUGGCAUUGAAUACUGCUGAUCUGGAGGAUUGGAGGGGGGACUGGAAUUCUUGGUGUAGCAGUGAAAUGCGUAGAUAUCAAGAGGAACACCAGUGGCGAAGGCGAGUCCCUGGACAAUUCCUGACACUGAGGCACGAAAGCCAAGGGAGCAAACAGG
rnacentral:rRNA from 1 species